AUUGAACGCUGGCGGAAUGCUUUUACACAUGCAAGUCGAACGGCAGCACGGACUUCGGUCUGGUGGCGAGUGGCGAACGGGUGAGUAAUGUAUCGGAACGUGCCCAGUCGUGGGGGAUAACGUAGUGAAAAUUACGCUAAUACCGCAUACGAUCUAUGGAUGAAAGCGGGGGAUCGCAAUACCUCGCGCGAUUGGAGCGGCCGAUAUCAGAUUAGGUAGUUGGUGGGGUAAAGGCCACCAAGCCAACGAUCUGUAGCUGGUCUGAGAGGACGACCAGCCACACUGGAACUGAGACACGGUCCAGACUCCUACGGGAGGCAGCAGUGGGGAAUUUUGGACAAUGGGCGAAAGCCUGAUCCAGCCAUUCCGCGUGCAGGAUGAAGGCCCUCGGGUUGUAAACUGCUUUUGUACAGAACGAAAAGGUUUCUACUAAUACUAGGAGCUCAUGACGGUACUGUAAGAAUAAGCACCGGCUAACUACGUGCCAGCCGCCGCAGUAA
rnacentral:rRNA from 1 species